GUAAGGAUAUCAUAAGGGGCGAUGAGUCUGUUUUAGGCACAGAAUAUGUUAGUUCGAGUCUAACUCUUUAUU
rnacentral:tRNA from 1 species